GUGGACGCCAGUCUGCAUGGAGCCGACCUUGAAAUACCACCCUUUAAUGUUUGAUGUUCUAACGUGGACCCGUAAUCCGGGUUGCGGACAGUGUCUGGUGGGUAGUUUGACUGGGGCGGUCUCCUCCUAAAGAGUAACGGAGGAGCACGAAGGUUGGCUAAUCCUGGUCGGACAUCAGGAGGUUAGUGCAAUGGCAUAAGCCAGCUUGACUGCGAGCGUGACGGCGCGAGCAGGUGCGAAAGCAGGUCAUAGUGAUCCGGUGGUUCUGAAUGGAAGGGCCAUCGCUCAACGGAUAAAAGGUACUCCGGGGAUAACAGGCUGAUACCGCCCAAGAGUUCAUAUCGACGGCGGUGUUUGGCACCUCGAUGUCGGCUCAUCACAUCCUGGGGCUGAAGUAGGUCCCAAGGGUAUGGCUGUUCGCCAUUUAAAGUGGUACGCGAGCUGGGUUUAGAACGUCGUGAGACAGUUCGGUCCCUAUCUGCCGUGGGCGCUGGAGAACUGAGGGGGGCUGCUCCUAGUACGAGAGGACCGGAGUGGACGCAUCACUGGUGUUCGGGUUGUCAUGCCAAUGGCACUGCCCGGUAGCUAAAUGCGGAAGAGAUAAGUGCUGAAAGCAUCUAAGCACGAAACUUGCCCCGAGAUGAGUUCUCCCUGAGACUUAGAGUCUCCUGAAG
rnacentral:rRNA from 1 species